GUGGGGAAUCUUGCGCAAUGGACGAAAGCCUGACGCAGCCAUGCCGCGUGAAUGAUGAAGGUCUUAGGAUUGUAAAAUUCUUUCACCGGGGACGAUAAUGACGGUACCCGGAGAAGAAGCUCCGGCUAACUUCGUGCCAGCAGCCGCGGUAAUACGAAGGGGGCUAGCGUUGCUCGGAAUUACUGGGCGUAAAGGGCGCGUAGGCGGACAGCUUAGUCAGAGGUGAAAGCCCAGGGCUCAACCUUGGAAUUGCCUUUGAUACUGGCUGUCUUGAGUUUGGGAGAGGUGAGUGGAACUCCGAGUGUAGAGGUGAAAUUCGUAGAUAUUCGGAAGAACACCAGUGGCGAAGGCGACUCACUGGCCCAAUACUGACGCUGAGGCGCGAAAGCGUGGGGAGCAAACAGGAUUAGAAACCCGGGUAGUCC
rnacentral:rRNA from 1 species